UACAGAGGUCUCGAGCGUUGUUCGGAUUCAUUGGGCGGAAAGGGUGCGUAGGUGGCGGGGCAAGUCAGGUGUGAAAUCCCGGGGCUCAACCCCGGAACUGCAUUUGAUACUGCCUUGCUCGAGUACUGGAGAGGAGACUGGAAUUUACGGUGUAGCAGUGAAAUGCGUAGAUAUCGUAAGGAAGACCAGUGGCGAAGGCGAGUCUCUGGACAGUUACUGACACUGAGGCACGAAGGCCAGGGGAGCAAACGGG
rnacentral:rRNA from 1 species